rnacentral:rRNA from 1 species
UGGGGAAUAUUGCGCAAUGGGCGAAAGCCUGACGCAGCGACGCCGCGUGAGGGAUUAAGGUUUUCGGAUCGUAAACCUCUGUCAGAAGGGAAGAAACCGCACUGUGCUAAUCAGCAGUGCCUUGACGGUACCUUCAAAGGAAGCACCGGCUAACUCCGUGCCAGCAGCCGCGGUAAUACGGAGGGUGCAAGCGUUAAUCGGAAUUACUGGGCGUAAAGCGCACGUAGGCUGCUUUGUAAGUCAGGGGUGAAAUCCCACGGCUCAACCGUGGAACUGCCUUUGAUACUGCUUAGCUUGAAUCCGUGAGAGGGUGGCGGAAUUCCAGGUGUAGGCGUCAAAUCCGUAGAUAUCUGGAGGAAAAGCAGUGGCGAAGGCGGCCACCUGGACCGGUAUUGACGCUGAGGUGCGAAAGCGUGGGGAGCAAACAGG